ACAAUAAUACUUCCGUAACUCGCGGCCCGGCCAUGAUGAAGGCGGGGGGAUGAAAUUUCCAUGG
rnacentral:ncRNA from 1 species